rnacentral:tRNA from 1 species
GCGCGCUUGAUAAGCGUGAGGUCGGAAGUUCAAGUCUUCCCAGGCCCACCACUUUCAUCGAGUGAGCAUUCGUCUUCUGGUUACGGGGCCAUAGCUCAGCUGGGAGAGCGCGUGCUUUGCAAGCAUGAGGUCGUCGGUUCGAUCCCGUCUGGCUCCACCAGAUGGUUUGAUCACCGAGGUCAUGCACCGUCGUCCGCGAAACAUCACUUCGCAUCCUGCCAGUCUGGAUAGACGGCAGGUUGCGUGAUUUCUGACAUCGUAAAGAGGAGAUCGAUCCGAGUUGGGUCGUGCAGCAGGUUGUUGCGCGUAUCCUUCAUUAUCUCCGGAUCAUUUUCGGCGCUCGAGGUUGACCGCAAGGUUGGCUCUCGAGUUGUAAAAUGAUCCUUUUAGCGAAGCUUGACCGCCUCGCUAUCGGAACGAUCUUACGAAGCAAGCUGGUCUUUCUAGUCAAUGUCCGGCUGUACGUAGCGUUCAUCGAGGGCGCGCGCCGCAAGGCAAUCGUACAGACAACAUUCUGCCGAGUGUGUGGACAUUGAUAAUGAGAGC